UGGGGAAUUUUGCACAAUGGGGGAAACCCUGAUGCAGCGACGCCGCGUGAUUUAGAAGGCCUUCGGGUUGUAAAAAUCUUUUCUAUGGGAAGAAAAUGACAGUACCAUAGGAAUAUGGACCGGCUAAUUACGUGCCAGCAGCCGCGGUAAUACGUAAGGUCCGAGCGUUUUCCGGAAUCAUUGGGCGUAAAGGGUACGUAGGCGGGUAAGCAAGUUAGAAGUGAAAUCCUAUAGCUCAACUAUAGUAAGCUUUUAAAACUGCUCAUCUUGAGGUAUGGAAGGGAAAGUGGAAUUCCUAGUGUAGCGGUGAAAUGCGCAGAUAUUAGGAGGAGUACCGGUGGCGAAGGCGACUUUCUGGCCAUAACCUGACGCUGAGAUACGAGAGCGUGGGUAGCAAACAGG
rnacentral:rRNA from 1 species